GAGCGAAGCAUAACUCCAUAUUCUAUAGAAAAUAAAUAUCUGUAUAUUACAAUAUCAAAAGGAAAAAAACUAUAAAUAAACAUGCCUAGAGGUAAUCCACUCAGGGUGAAAUAAUAAAAUUCAACUUUGAACAGCUUCAUCCAUGGCCUGAGAUCACAAAACCAAAUUAGCAGCUCAUAUGUAAGUUUUGAUUUGGGUAAGUUUCAUCAGAUGGCCGAAAGGGCAGAUGGCUUUCCCAUGGUUUGAUGAUUUAAAACCAGCAGGAGCUCAUAUUUCAGCCCGUAAAACCUGUACAAAAUCUAAUCCUACUACUCUAAAUGUAAACUAGUUUUCUCCAAAGCUAAAUGACUAACAUCCUAUCCUAUCUUUUCUAACUUCCACUCAAGGACUUCAGGCAGCAUAUUGCUUUGAUGCCUGCAAAGUACUAACAGAAUUUGAAAUCUCCAGCAUCUGUUCCUCCAUCUUAGCCUUCCAUUUCACCAACUCCUUGAACAUUUCCUGUCCAAAAAUGCAACAUUUCAAAUGAGGCUUCAUCAAUUAAUACUACACACUUUGAAAGCAGAUUAUAUAUACACUUUUUUCUCGAGAAAAUCAAUUUAUUUUAGUAGCAUACUAUUAAAUAUCACCUGAAAAAGAAGAAAUGGAUUGUCAAGAUCAAACUUCAAACUGUUAGUAGCAGAUGAAUCAGGGGUAACACUUGCUUGAGCAUCUUCCAUCCUCUUGGGUAGCAGAUAUUGCACAUCUCUUUUUACUUUGGCCAUUUCUUCCUUUAGCAGUUCCAGCUCUCUAGCACAAAUGGGGUCCCCAGAGGGACUAUCACAAGAUUUCAACCAAGGCUGUAGAGCUGAACAUUCCUGCAGUGGAGCAUCUUGCCCAACAUUAACCAGAUCAGUGCUUCCUAACCAUGGUGUGAAGUCCUCCCCCUUAAUAUUAUCCAAGUUGGUGCUCUCCAACCAGUCCUCCCAUCUUUCAGAAACUGGACUGAAGGUGGUGCAUUGUUUUGAAGCCUGCAAACUGCUCACUGAAUUUGAAAUUUCCAUAAGCUGUUGUUCAGCUUUGGACUUCCACAUCAUCAACUCCUGAUACAUGUCCUGCAUGCCACGCAAAGAACUUGAAAUCUCCAUCACACAUUGAUCAGUCUUACUUCUCCAUUUCAUCAAUUCCUUGUGCAUCUCCUCAACUGAAUCAACUCGAUUUUGCUCUUGGUUCUUCAAUAACAGCUCAUUCAUAUCCCUAUGAAGGACACACACAUAAUAAUCAGGGACCUUGGACCACUUACUAAUUCAACUAUUCUGGUUUAAUUACCUCUUCAAUUUUGCUACUUCCUCUUUAAGCAGUGUCAGUUCUCCAGCAGAAACAGAUUCUCGAACAACAUCACCACCAGGCUUCCACCAAGAUGGGGGAACCCAAUUUGGAUCAGGCAACCCAGCCUCAUGCUUAAUUUUAACCAAGUCAGCACUCUCCAGCCAAUACUCCAUUACCCCUUGAGUGUUAUAGCACCGGCGAAAUCGCUCACUGCCACCUGGUGCCACUUUACCAUCGAUGUGCUUCAGUAGGUGGUCCAAGAGUCCGGUGUCAGGAAUGUGUUUCCGAGCUGCCACCCUCAGUACUGGCCGGGAAAUAGGUUUCUCAAAAACAGCCCCUUCAGCCUUCAUGACCUCCAGCAUUCGUUUCUCUGCCAGCUUAUACCUCUCUUUGGACCAUCUGUCUAUGAAGUUCUCCUUUUUCCUUGAUGAAGAAUUAUCUUUUUUGCAAGGAAAGGAAUUCUCAUGCUUAAUUUGCUUAUGACUGUCAGUUUGCCCUUGCCUCAGACAUCUUGCAGCUCUAGCUUCUCUAAGCUGGCAAAGGUUAAGGCGCCUCCUCUUCUGCAAUUUGGGUGACACAAGAGAUGCUGCUGUCACAGCUUCGUCAUCAUCCAUCUGCUCUUCUUUGACACAGGAGGAUGAAAUUUGAGGUUUAUUUCCCUCGCACUGGUCAACAAGAGCAACUGGCCCACAGACACCCCACUGCACCAUCCCUGUGCGUCUUAGCUCCAACAAACACAACCCUUUUUUGGUAGUCUCAUCUUGUCUCUCACAACUUUCAUAUCGUUCUGAAGCACCUUUAUAUGUCCUCGACAUCAACGAGACAUUCUCAUAGUCCAACAGCCAGUGUUCCAAUAGUAAGAUUGUC
rnacentral:misc_RNA from 1 species